UACGGAGGGUGCAAGCGUUGUUCGGAAUUAUUGGGCGUAAAGCGCGUGUAGGCGGCUAUUUAAGUCUGAUGUGAAAGCCCGGGGCUCAACCCCGGAAGUGCAUUGGAAACUGGCGAUCUUGGAACCGGGAGAGGGUAGUGGAAUUUCGAGUGUAGGGGUGAAAUCCGUAGAUAUUCGAAGGAACACCGGUGGCGAAGGCGGCUACCUGGACCGAUACUGACGCUGAGACGCGAAAGCGUGGGGAGCAAAC
rnacentral:rRNA from 1 species